GGGGGUGCACCGGAUUCGAUUGCCGGUGAGCGAAAAGAUAAGCAUACCGCAGACGGAGUGCCUGCGUCAAAAACAUUCCGUUAAAUUUAAAUGCAGAUAGAAAUGCAAGCUACGCUCUUGCAGCGUAAAUUCGUUUUUUAACGAAACGUCGCGCCUGAUUUAUCCGUCGGUUAGGGCCGUGGCGUCAACAAGACGGAACACUCUUGAAAAAAUCGGAAAGCGUUUUUUGAAGAGUAUUUCGCUUUCUGCGGAACGUGAAGCGUGUUUACCCGCCCCGCGUUCUUAAGAAAUAAUAGAUAAACUACGUAUGUAGAAAGUUUUUUGGCAGCCGAGUAAGACGUGAGUUCAACUCUCACCACCUCCACCA
rnacentral:tmRNA from 1 species